UGCAGUCGANGGCAGCACGGGGGCAACCCUGGUGGCGAGUGGCGAACGGGUGAGUAACAUAUCGGAACGUGCCCUGGAGUGGGGGAUAACUAGUCGAAAGAUUAGCUAAUACCGCAUACGAUCUACGGAUGAAAGUGGGGGAUCGCAAGACCUCAUGCUCGUGGAGCGGCCGAUAUCUGAUUAGCUAGUUGGUGGGGUAAAGGCCUACCAAGGCAUCGAUCAGUAGCUGGUCUGAGAGGACGACCAGCCACACUGGGACUGAGACACGGCCCAGACUCCUACGGGAGGCAGCAGUGGGGAAUUUUGGACAAUGGGCGCAAGCCUGAUCCAGCAAUGCCGCGUGAGUGAAGAAGGCCUUCGGGUUGUAAAGCUCUUUUGUCAGGGAAGAAACGGUUCGGGUUAAUACCUUGGGCUAAUGACGGUACCUGAAGAAUAAGCACCGGCUAACUACGUGCCAGCAGCCGCGGUAAUACGUAGGGUGCAAGCGUUAAUCGGAAUUACUGGGCGUAAAGCGUGCGCAGGCGGUUGUGCAAGACAGAUGUGAAAUCCCCGGGCUCAACCUGGGAAUUGCAUUUGUGACUGUACGGCUAGAGUGUGUCAGAGGGGGGUAGAAUUCCACGUGUAGCAGUGAAAUGCGUAGAGAUGUGGAGGAAUACCGAUGGCGAAGGCAGCCCCCUGGGAUAACACUGACGCUCAUGCACGAAAGCGUGGGGAGCAAACAGGANUAGAUACCCUGGUAGUCCACGCCCUAAACGAUGUCUACUAGUUGUCGGGUCUUUAUUGACUUGGUAACGCAGCUAACGCGUGAAGUAGACCGCCUGGGGANUACGGUCGCAAGAUUAAAACUCAAAGGAAUUGACGGGGACCCGCACAAGCGGNGGAUGAUGUGGAUUNAUUCGAUGCAACGCGAAAAACCUUACCUACCCUUGACA
rnacentral:rRNA from 1 species